rnacentral:rRNA from 1 species
GACGAACGCUGGCGGCGUGCUUAACACAUGCAAGUCGAGCGGUAAGGCUCCUUCGGGAGUACACGAGCGGCGAACGGGUGAGUAACACGUGAGCAAUCUGCCCUUCCUCUUCGGAAUAAGCGUUGGAAACGACGUCUAAUGCCGAAUACGACCUCCUUUCGUCAUGAUCGGAGGUGGAAAGCUCCGGCGGAGAAGGAUGAGCUCGCGGCCUAUCAGCUAGUUGGGU